rnacentral:tRNA from 1 species
GGGGUGAUUAGCUCAGCUGGGAGAGCACCUCCCUUACAAGGAGGGGGUCGGCGGUUCGAUCCCGCUUAGCUCCACCA